GAUCUCGCUCCCCUCGUCUCCCACAUCGCCUCCGCCACCCACCCCGAUCCCAUCCCUCCCCUCGUCUCCCUCCCAAACCUUGCCGCCGGCAGCCUCUCCCCCUCCUCUCCGCUUCCCUCCCACCUCGUCCCCAUCUCUCUCCCGCAGGACGUUGGCAGAUUAGGAGCAAAAACAAAAUCCCCCAAGCCCAACCCACUUCCUCUGCCCUCUUCCUUGAUCCCGUGUCCGCCGCGGCCCCUCAUCUGCACCGGCGCCGGGCUUCCCCGCCGACGACCUCGCUGCCCUUCUCCCGCACCGCUGCCGCCCCCACCCUCUUGCCCUUCACCAUCUUCUGUCUCUUCCCUUGGCCGUUGCGCGACUGUCUCUUCCCCAUAUUCUCCCGCUUCCCCCCACCCAACCAACACGUUGACACGCAGACACGCUUCGCCACGCGUCGGAGCGGCAUCGGCGAGUCAUGAAGGGCGGCGGAGCCAUCCGGAGCGGUGGCGGGGGCGGCGGCGGGCUGAUGCGGACGCGGCUGCGGCUCCCCGUGCUCGCAGAUUCGUUUCGUCGUGCGCACGCGCGGGCCUCUGAUCUGGGGUGGCUCUGGCGGUUGUUCCGUGGCAGGAUCCGCAGGGGGAGGAGGACGUGGAGCGGCCGCUGCGGAGGGAGCGGCUCAUGGAGGCGGUCUGGCCGGAGAUGGCAUACGGGGAGUCCGGCGAGCCCGCGCCCUCCUUGACCCCUUACUAGGUCACGCCUCGUCCCGAUUCCCUUCGUCGCAUUGCCAUUUUGUUCUUCAGGGAUUCCGUUUAGGCUUUGCGGUGUCAGUGACCACUGAUUAGCAUUGGGGACAAUGGAAGAUGGCGUUCGUGAAAUUUUUGGUGAGGAUGCAUGCUGCAUUCGUUGGUGACGUGCAAGUUGCGAGAGUGUACGAACACGGAUCAGUUGCUGCUCUAAACCCAACAAUUCGGAGGAGGAAUGCACGAGAAGCGAGUCCCCCAGCGAUGCCAAGGUCACACUGUUGUUUUGCUGUGGUUGAUAAACCUGAGACUUCUUUCUAUUCUUCAAGGCGGUUUUGUUUAGGCCAGCCAUGGAGCAGAAAGAACGGACAUUGCUACUUAAGCAAGAGGGAAGACCCGACGAGGCCAUUAUGCUUACCUUGCUCGAGCGCAUCAACCCCGACCAUGGCACCACAUUCACAGUCUUGAGGUAGCCGUGCUGCAACUACAUCAACGCUAUCUUCUCUGACUAGAUAAGGCUUCGGUCUAUCCCAUUAUUUUCUUUUCUUCUUUGGUCGAUGGGCCAUGAUGCCAUUGUGUUGAUUCCCUAUGUGAUGCAGAAGCUAUGGUGUUUUGUUUUAAGUCUGUUGUAAAUUGUAAUUGAUAAUGAUUUGUGUAAAAUUAGUGUUAACAUAUGUCUUGUUAUCUUAAAUCGUUCGUGUCGUGCUCAA